UCCCAACUUCCCUGCCUCCCUGCUCAAGAAGUGAGCGAAAUGAACCAUUAUUUGGCUUCUCAGCUUCAGAUACCCGCGCGAAAAAGCCUUGAUCGUACAAAGUUAUGUGGAUAGUGGUUAGGUGGAACGUCAUCAAUCAUGAGUAGAUUCUUCAUACUAUCGUCCCUGUUGGACUGAGAUACUAUAUAUUUAAGUGCUCGCACAAAGAUCUUGCGCCGGCGAUCCCACGACGAUAUUAUUAUCACCCAGGGAUGGAGAAUUCCGCCGUCCCUUGACAGGCACGAAAACCUCAAUAUAUAUACCCGGUGUGAGCGGAGCCUCACAGGAACUACUAAGAGGCAGAAUGUUUCUCUACAACCAGCCUGUCAGCCCAACAAGGGGUCUGAGCAACGGCAACCGUGUUCUCUGCUGCAUAUCACUGCAUGGAGGCAAUAUCAUGUGUCCUGACACUCCAGAAUUGAGACAUGAAACAUUUCCAUUUUCUACGUGUAUGAUUCGUCGAAGUUAUCUAUCAAUUUGAUUAAUUUUGAUUCUGUUCUUGAUACCAGGUUACUCCUGCUAUUAUAUUCCCAAUUCCUGGUGCAUCGAUUACGAACUACAAUGCACUGCUCAUUUGGCCUUUUCCCAAACCUGGAUUUAAAGGAAGACAAGGCUGACAAUUGGCUGAUUGAAUACACUUUUUUGCAGGUAGGGCCUAUCUCGAAAAUAACUUCAAAUAAACAACACAGUAUGGUACCUGUAAUAGAAGUGAGGGAAAAAGAUAAGCCUAUCAAGACAACCUGGAAUAGGAACAAAAGGUGUUGAGUUGAAAACAAGGAAAGAAGAAAACACUAUCUGCGUCCCAUUCUGGAAACAGUUUGUCGGUCGUAUCUCCUGUCCACCCCUCCGAGCAUGAUCUUCAAAAUGGUGUUAGAUGACAGCACUGCACCGCUCCAUGGUGCUGUAUCAACUAUGUCCCGCACAUGGUUGUUUUUGUACAGGGUAUCAUCAAGAUUCUCCAACCACCUUGCAGCACAUCGAUCAUUGCCAACUUGUACAAAUUGAAUUCCCACCUGCCACGGCUUCGCAUUGCAUUCGUCCAGUCGCCUUGCUACACUGAUCAACACCGGUUCCACAUCAUCAGUUGGGAUGCCGUCCGUGAUCACGAUGACGUUAAUCGGUUUAACAGGUGGCUUGCUCACACCCCUAGAACCCCCUGCCGACCUGUAUCGGACUUCAUCCACGUACGGAUUGAGAAUGUCGUGCAGUCGGCCGCCGGUCGGGGUUCGUCCGCUCGGCGUUACCCGACUAAAGAUAUGUCCAACAGCCUCUGAUGUUGUGAUGUUCGCAUACGCUCCGGUUGGGUUGCUCCAAUUUUUGUGGUUUAAGAAGUAUAUAUCAAAGCCAUCUUCGUCAUACUCGGCGCAGAUUGGGGCUAUAGCUGAAAGUGCUUCUCUGGUCUCGGCCCAUCGUGAGCCACUCAUGCUUCCGCUGUCGUCGACGAGAAGGAUGGUAUCGAAAUCACUCAAAAAGGCGUAGGGUGAGGAAUCAGCAAUGGUUUCCUGAGUCUCUGCUGUGGGGGUAUAGGCUGGUGGCUCGUCUGGAUAAGUCGCCCAGUCUAUCGCCUUGCCCUUCUCCUUCGCGUCCUGCUUCAGCCCGUUCCUCAUCAGCCCGUUCCUCAAGGAGCGCAUGAAACUGGCCAUUUCUUUUAUUCUUUCUGUUGAUGUCUUGCAAGUUGGUUCCCUUGAAAGUCGGAGCGUGAUGCGUGUGCAAGAGUUGGAAGGAAAUAUAACGAGCUAUUAAAUCGUUGCGCUGGAUUUCAAACGCCUGUAAUUGCGUCCAUGAAACGACGCAGGGCCACACUGAAGGAUGUAUUGUGGUUAACUACAGAAUAAGAGUAAAAGUAACCCAUUGCCGAAGAAUAAAGAAACUAUAGAA
rnacentral:sRNA from 1 species